CUACGGGACGCUGCAGUGGGGAAUUUUGGACAAUGGGCGCAAGCCUGAUCCAGCAAUGCCGCGUGCAGGAUGAAGGCCUUCGGGUUGUAAACUGCUUUUGUACGGAACGAAACGGUGAGCUCUAAUACAGUUUGCUAAUGACGGUACCGUAAGAAUAAGCACCGGCUAAGUACGUGCCAGGCAGCCGCGGUAAUACGUAGGGUGCAAGCGUUAAUCGGAAUUACUGGGCGUAAAGCGUGCGCAGGCGGUUAUAUAAGACAGAUGUGAAAUCCCCGGGCUCAACCUGGGACCUGCAUUUGUGACUGUAUGGCUAGAGUACGGUAGAGGGGGAUGGAAUUCCGCGUGUAGCAGUGAAAUGCGUAGAUAUGCGGAGGAACACCGAUGGCGAAGGCAAUCCCCUGGACCUGUACUGACGCUCAUGCACGAAAGCGUGGGGAGCAAACAGGAUUAGAUACCCGAGUAGUC
rnacentral:rRNA from 1 species